CUCUGCCUCCCUGAUGCAGGGCACCCUUGGGUGAGUCUCAAGGCACAUUCAUCUCCCUCACCCAUCCCCACAGACAAAUGUCAGCAGCACCAAGGUGGAUCCAAGUUUUAUAAAGCCUGGAACUUAUACAACUUAGGGGAUUCUCUUUAGGAAACAGAACACAAAAUUAUUAAUACAAAACUAGGUUAAAAGUGAAUAUUCGGCCAGGCGCGUUGGCUCACGCCUGUAAUCCCAGCACUUUGGGAGGCCGAGGUAGGCAGAUCACCUGAGAUCAGGAAUUCGAGACCAGCCUGGCCAACACGGUGAAACCCUAUCUCUACUAAAAACUACAAAAAUUAGCCAGGCAUGGUGGCGGGUGCCUGUAAUCCCAGCUACUUGGGAGGCUGAGGCAGGAAAAUCGUUUGAACCUGGGAGGCAGAGGUUGUUAUAACUAUAAGAAAAUUAUGACAGUGGCAGAGAGCUGAUCUAACCACCCCCCAUUUUGCCUUUAACCUUUCUUGUGGGAAAAGACUCUCUUGGGGUCUGGAUCGGGACCCCUUCCCGGUAACAAUGUGGUCAUAACUGUUAUUUGUAACUACCUCCUCUACUACCCCUGAAUGGGGAUGUAGUGGGAAUCACCACCCCUGCAUCUUCCAAGUCCUUAAUGGUGGCACUAAUCUCUGUAAUCUCUCCAGGAAUGCAGUAUUGCUUUUGAUUUGCUAUUUUCCUGGGUAGAGGCAGCUCCACUGGCUCCCACUUGGCCUUUCCCACCAUUAAUAGCUCUCAAUAUCCACUCCCAUGCAUGUUCCCCAGAUUUCUGCUUGUAUAAAGGAAUUAUUUUGGGGGCAGUACACCUCCUCAUGGGUCACACUAUGUACCUUACCUUUAGGGGGCUUCUGGGACUCGAGUCUAGAUAUAGGUCUACAAGCAAAGAAUGCUGAUGAGGUGGGUCCAGGGGUGAAUCUGCCCUGUCUUAUAUAGCAACUGCUUCAGGGGUGGCCAUUACUGUUUCAUCAGGCAAUGAAGAUUUAUCCCCACUACUGUGGGUGAGGAAGCCACUUUUGCUAAGGGUGGGUAGGCAACUUCACUGGGGGUAGGGAUGCCACUUCCACUGGGCGUAGGCCAGUCUCUUCCAUGGUAAAGAAGACUUAUGAGAACUUAGAGGCUCAAGGUCUCCAGCUUCAUCAAGGUCUUCCCAUAGGUCACCCACCCAACUCACAGGAUAUCAUUCUUUCCCAGUCAAUGCCCUCACUGUAACAGUAGAGACCAUGUGAGGCUGGGAAGUUGUCAUUCAGUCAGUCACAGGAUUUGUUUUGCAUGUGAUUUUCAGCAAUUUCAGUCCUGAAAUAAGGUUGCCCUUCAGGGCACAACUAGAAGAUCUUUUAUGCACUGUUUGAGCUAGGAAUUUGAAUCCAUGAUCUCAUCCUUUUCUUUUACAAAUCUGUCCAAUGACAUUAGAAACAAGUAACCAAGUAACCAAUGUCAUUAUAUUCCUCAAUUUUCCAAAAAUGUUUGAAAUAUCUUAAAUGAAGUCACGUAGCUCCUUGCUUCUUAUAAGUGGUUGAUUAGAAGUAUCCAAUGCAGAUAUUUUGCAUAUCUCUAUAAACAGCCAACACCAUGAACAAUCAGAUUAGAGGGCCAGUCUCAUAAACCUCAGAACCAAUUCAGGAAACUCAACCUUAAAAUUCUGUUCUCCUAGAACCACUAUUGAUACUAAAAUCUGCAUUAGUCAGAGUUCUCCUGAAAAAGAGAACCAAUGGGAUACACACACACACACACACACACACACACACACACACACACACACACAUUGAUUAUAGGAGUUGGCUUAUGUGAUUACAGAGACAGUUAUUCCGAUAUCCCUUGACAGAAGGGAAAUGUGACAGAGGGGAAGUCAGGGUGAAAAGAAACAGCAGCCUUGAAUGAUUGUGGUUGAUACAAUAUACUUUUGCAAAUUUUACAAAAAUGUGAAAGCAUUGCCAGGGCCCCUCCCGGGGCCUUGGAAGGAGCAAGUGGGGGCCCAGCAAAGCUCUGCAUGAAGGCACAGCCCUUAGAGAUGAAACAGAUCAAGAGAAGGGUAAUUACUGAGGCAGGGCCUCAGGGCUGCAUCCUCUGGCACAAUUAUGUUAACAAGGUAAAUUAGCCCCAGAUAAACCUGUACCUAAUAAACUUGGGCA
rnacentral:lncRNA from 10 species